rnacentral:rRNA from 1 species
AGAUCAAAUUGUCGGUCGUGCCUCGGUACGUACUGGCAUUAUUGAUUUCUCCCUUCUGACGAACCAUGAUGUCAUUAAUUUGGUGUCAUGGGGAAUCAGGACUUUUACUUUGAAAAAAUUAGAGUGUUUAAAGCAGGCAUUCGCUUGAAUACAUUAGCAUGGAAUAAUAAAAUAGGACUU